AUCCACCAAAAAUCUGUGAUAGUGCUGCUUGCCUUAGUAGCUCUUAAGCCGAGACGCGGCCUUGGCGUUCCGAUCGCCGGUUCAGAUAGUACAAUUACCAAUCAAACCAACGAUUAUGGAACCAGUGACUUCAACUGGAGCUACACGCUCAGUGAUGGGAGCAGCGUCCAGCAGACGGCCACUGCCAAAAAGUUGGAAGAUGGCAGAGUAAUUUUGGUACUGCGAGGAUCAUACAGCUACGUCACUCCCGAUGGAGUUCGGCACGAGGUGAGCUACGAAUCGGAUGAGAAUGGAUAUCGGCCGCAAGUGAGUGAAAACCCCAUACAGUUGGUAGUUCCACACUUUGUGGGAAUUGAUCCAAAGGUGUUGGCCUCGCUGGUCGGAUAACCUGAUCUUGUUACAACAAUCUUAUGAUUUAAGG